rnacentral:rRNA from 1 species
UUUAAUUUGAGAGUUUGAUCCUGGCUCAGGACGAACGCUGGCGGCGUGCCUAACACAUGCAAGUCGAGCGAUGAAGCUUCCUUCGGGGAGUGGAUUAGCGGCGGACGGGUGAGUAACACGUGGGUAACCUGCCUCAAAGAGGGGGAUAGCCUCCCGAAAGGGAGAUUAAUACCGCAUAACAUUAUUUUAUGGCAUCAUAGAAUAAUCAAAGGAGCAAUCCGCUUUGAGAUGGACCCGCGGCGCAUUAGCUAGUUGGUGAGGUAAGGGCUCACCAAGGCGACGAUGCGUAGCCGACCUGAGAGGGUGAUCGGCCACAUUGGAACUGAGACACGGUCCAGACUCCUACGGGAGGCAGCAGUGGGGAAUAUUGCGCAAUGGGGGGAACCCUGACGCAGCAACGCCGCGUGAGUGAUGAAGGUUUUCGGAUCGUAAAACUCUGUCUUUAGGGACGAUAAUGACGGUACCUAAGGAGGAAGCCACGGCUAACUACGUGCCAGCAGCCGCGGUAAUACGUAGGUGGCAAGCGUUGUCCGGAUUUACUGGGCGUAAAGAGUAUGUAGGUGGGUGCUUAAGUCAGAUGUGAAAUUCCCGGGCUUAACCUGGGCGCUGCAUUUGAAACUGGGCAUCUAGAGUGCAGGAGAGGAAAGUGGAAUUCCUAGUGUAGCGGUGAAAUGCGUAGAGAUUAGGAAGAACACCAGUGGC